CAGGCAGGGCUGGUUAUCCCCGGACACGUGAUUAAUGUGAUCUGGCGAUCCUCGGCGGGGUGGAGGUUUCAGCGCUGUGUACUUAAGGUCGUGUGCUCGGAGUGCCUUGGCUCCGCCUCCUUCUUUUCGCAAUGUUGACGCAAUGUAUAAAUAGUGGAACAAAAGAACAACUUCCUAGAAGCUCGCAGAUAACUGCACACACACGGCGGCGGGCGCCCGAUCACUCGGCGGAUGGGGGGGUUCUGGGCUCUGGACACAUGGCUUCUUCUGCUUUUAAUAUGAAUGCACAUCUCCGGACCUGGGCUUCCCUCUGCGCUCCAUUGACAGGUCAGGCCAGUUCCAGGAAGUGAUGUUAUUAUCAUCAGUGCAGCUUUCAAAACAAAGGAGAAAUAGCUGGGGUGUCAUUACUCAUCAACACAUCACCAGAUUGAUUUCAAAACCAGGUAAAUCACAGGAACUGUCAUAGGCGGGAGUGAGAAUGCAACAAAGAAUGUUUCAAGUGUCUGACACAGUA